AAUAAGAAAGAAAGUAGGGGGUGAGUGGUGAUAAAUAAUGCUCCAUUAGUUCUAGGUAGUACUCAGUAAAUAUUUGUUGAAUUCAAGAAUGAGUAGUAUAACUAGAGGUGAUGUUUACCUUCUCUCUCUCUUUCUCUCGUGUAUGUAUGUGAAUGUGCUUUUAAAGUAUUCUUCAAUGUGUAUAUAAAACAUUUGAAAUAAGCAGCUAAAUGAAUUUUGUUUAAAAUUUUAAAAUCUGAACUUUAAAGAAAAGAAAUUUAAAUGUGGCUUAUGACUAUCCCGUCACCACCUUACAUGUAUGAAUUGAGAGACUGAAAGGAAAUUCUUCCUAAGAUGAUCUUCCACAUCUGUAUCAGGGUCUACAAUUCCACCAUGCUUUGGGAUAAGGCUUUAAGGCAUUUGAAUUAUUACCUGGGAUUUAAUUCAAGUCUGUUCACACACUAGGAUAAUGGGAUACAGGAUGCUGUUGAAUUCUGUUGGGUAGUUCAUUAUCUGGGCAACUUCUUUAUUUAGCUAUCUCUUGAGAUAGACAAAAAAGGAAUAAAAUUUAAAGGAAAACUCUCUUAAAGAUGCAGAUUGAGGUACCUUACCAGAGGCAGAAUGAAGACACUGGGAUGACACGGUGUAUCUCCAGGACCUGGUAUACUUGUUAUGCGUUCUGGAUCCCUACAUGGUAUUUAAGUCAGAGCAAGAGAACAAGGGCUGUGGAAAACAAGUGGACUUCAGAUUUGGCCUAAUGGCAGGUAGAGAAGAAAAGCUGUUGGCAUGUGAAGAUCUGAGAAAAUAUGUGGUGAGGAGAAGUUCUCACAUUUUCUGAAAACAGCUGGAAACUAUUAAACUAGCUAUGAGAUACCAUAAUGUAGAAGCAGUUUGAAAUAGUCCAUAUUAGAGGCAUUCUGAAAUCAGUCAUUGCUUGUCAGUUAGCUGUUGAUAUCUGAAGUUGUCUUCCGGUGAAAGGUAAUUGCCAUUCAACACGCUGGCUGUUUUACUUCUGCUUCUGCUGUAUUAUUGGCAAGUCACAAAAUGGCAUUAAUACACAGAAAAUUAAUAAUAGUGACAUCAGAAAUGAUCAGAAAAUCUACAAAUUGAAUGACAAUAAGAACAUUAAAGUUCACAAGCUAGUGGAGGUGGAAUACAUUGAAAGUUUACUUUGUUUAAAGAGGGAUAUUAGGUAUAAUCGUUUUGCUCUUUAAAAAUCAAUACUCUAAAUACCACAAGUUUUGCAGUCAGUUUGCUUGGGUGGAAUCAGUGGAAAUUGAACACAAUUCUCAGAAAUGCUUUUAGUAGGUGAUAGCUGGUGUAGGAGGAAAAAUUGUGGUGGGAAAAUGUUACAGAGAAAAAAAGAUGUUGUUUAAGGCUGAAAGCAAUUCACUCUUAAAAGAAAUUUGCAUUUCAUAACACGUCUUCACUAGUACAUGACAUGCUAUGCUUCAUCUACUUUGUAGAUCAACUCUGCAUUAUUUUGGUCAAUGAGCUAGUUGGAGCAGGUGAAAACCGGGUAGUCAAAGUGAGGAAAUUAAAUUAUUUAUUUGUCUGACUUUAUAUUAUAAUUUUAAAAGUGAUUUCACCCUUAUAGCUUUGUAGAAGACAGAAAUGUUCUUUUAAAAUAUGUACUGCUGAUUUUCAAAAUGGUAAAGCUUUGGCAGCAAAGGUACUAAGUGGCACUGAUUUAAACAUCUUGGGGACUAUUAUAUUCAUUUAAAACUUUGAAUAAGAGAGUAUUUUUCUUAAAUAAAAUUCUAUCACUCUCAAGUACACUUGAUGCUACUGUUUGUUCUUUCACUUAUUUAACACAUUUUUGCAUCUACAUGCCAGGCACUUUUCUAAAUGCUAGGAAUAUAGCAGUGAACAAAACAGAGAAAACUGGGCUUGUAUUCUAGUGGAGAAAGACAAAAACAAACAGUUGAAAUAUGAAAUACAAUGUAAAAUUGUAAAUAUUAAACAAAUUUGCUUAAUAGGGAUCCUUAGAGGAGCUGCCUUAGUAAGUAGCUAAUGAUCUGUAAUUUUCAUAUCCAUUUGCAUAUGUUAUUGGUGAACAACAGGCUGUUUCUAAUAGUUGGUAGAUAAGAAAUACAUAUAUGCAUUUUGAAAUUUUGUCUAUGUUAUUUUGUAUACCAACCUUUUUUUCAAAUGAUCGGAUUUUCACAUUAUUACCCAUCAGUCUAUAGAAUAUAUAUUUGUCUUUUGUUUCAUGGUAUAUUAAGGAAAAAUCUUAACUUUCAACCUUUCCAUUAGAUCAAAGGUGAAAUCUUUAAAACAUGUAAAGAGUUUCUUCAGCUUGCUAAAGAAAGAAGAAAUAAAGGCAAAUGUAAUUUAGACAAGUCUUUGGAAGAUACAUAUUAUUACUGUGAUUAGAAAAGACAAAACUUACUGCUUCUGUUGACUUUUAAUUAGAGGCCAGAAGAGAAUACUCUUCAUGUACAAAUAAACUUUUAAAGUCUUUCUUCUGAAGUCUCUUUGUUUAUCCCAUAGCCAUUGACUGAGCAUACACUAUCUGCAAAGCACUAUGCUAGAAAAGUGUGUGUAUGUGUGUGUGUGAGAGAGAGAGAGAUAAAGAGACAGAGAUUAAGAGGGCAAGAGAAGGGAAUGAAUGAAGAAGGGCAGGAAUAAAGUGUAUGAGUUGAGUCAGUUUUCAGUAUGGAGGAAUACACAGGUAAGUAGAAUAAAAAUAUUAAAAUAAAUUUUCUGUAAAAAAAAUUAAAAUAAGUUUUAUGUGAGUUCAAAGAAGAGACUUGUUAUUUCUGCCUGGAAGGACUGGAGAAAGUUUCAUA
ensembl:lncRNA